AACAAGACCCAGUCACCAAACUUUUGGAAGGCGCCCUCUGCUUUUGUUCUUUAAUUUUCCUUUAAGAUCCAGCCAGCCAGAUUCGUGUUCCCUGGCCCGAGGCUGAAAACCCUGGCAGGCUCACACUUUUCUGCAGCUCUUAGGAAACAGCCUGGCCAAUGGUCACUUGAAAUGGAAAACAGUCCCAAUUUGGAAUUUCAGUAUUGGAGCCAAAAUGUUAGUCAAAACUCUAAAUUUUAACAUCCCAUUCCCCUCCCUGCCCCAGCUGAGCCUGCUUAGGGCUGGAAGCCUGCAUGGGAAAGGGGCCUCAGGGAGGAACCUGGCAUCUUUGGGGGCCUCUGCCGGCCUACGGCAACCCAAUUUAGACUCUCUGAAGUCCUGACUGGCAAAGGUCUGCUCUUCUCUGCUCUCAGCUAAAGGGCAUCCCAGGUAGUUCGAUGACGCAGACAUUGCCAUGUGAUCGCGAGACGCUAGUGACAAGGGAGGCAGCCGCAGGCCUCCUUCUUGGGACUUGCAGUUCAUGAGGUGUGUCGAAGCGGAACCCUCCUGCUCUGUGAGCUAGCGGACUGCCAUUUGAUAAGGAGACUGCGUGUAUGAGUGCUGCAGAGAUGGACAAGCUGGCCUGGGAACAAAAUACACUUAUCUUCUAGCAUUCGGUCCAGCUUUUUUUGGGGGUGGGGUGGGGGGGAGUGCUGGGAGAGCGGAUGGGUAGAGGGAGGAACAGAUUUAUUUGGAAGGCCCUGGAAUGUUCAGAUAAUAAAUCCUUUUAUCUCCUCUUCCACCUUCGCAGUGGAAAUGAGUCUCUGGCCAGCUAGGGGAGGGAAUGAAAAAGCACCAGCCUUGGGCUAAAUUCCUAAACGCUUGGGCACACUGCUGGACACGGUGCCCCUCUGUCCCCAGGGUCCUGUGAGAAAAACCGCAGCAUAGAGAGGGACAGAGCAGCGUCAAAGGUGUUCAGAACGACAGCCACCAAAGGCUGAGCGUGCCCACGGUCUCGCAGUAUGCCCAGAUUAUUACUUUCUUGAGCUAUUUCUAUCACCCCAAGCCUUCCACCAAUGACUUGAAAAGGAAUGUCAAGUCUUCUCCUAGUCUCUCGAAUCUCAUUUUGCUGUUUGUAUGUGUGUGUGUGUGUGUGUGUGUGUGCACGCACAUGUGUGUGCAGGCCACAGGAUGAGCCCAGGUGUUAUUUCUCAGGCCCAUCCACCUUUUUGUUUUGAGACAGGGUCUCUCACUGGCCUGGAAAUCACCCAGCAGGUUGACCAGAGAGCCUCUGGGUUAGGCUGAUCUCCACUUCUCCAGAACUGGGAUCACAAGAAUGCAUCCCUGUAC